AAAGAUUAAGCCAUGCAUGUCUAAGUAUAAGCAAUUUAUACAGUGAAACUGCGAAUGGCUCAUUAAAUCAGUUAUCGUUUAUUUGAUAGUACCUUUACUACUUGGAUAACCGUGGUAAUUCUAGAGCUAAUACAUGCUAAAAAUCCCGACUUCUGGAAGGGAUGUAUUUAUUAGAUAAAAAAUCAAUGCUUUUCGGAGCUCUUUGAUGAUUCAUAAUAACUUUUCGAAUCGCAUGGCCUUGUGCUGGCGAUGGUUCAUUCAAAUUUCUGCCCUAUCAACUUUCGAUGGUAGGAUAGUGGCCUACCAUGGUUU
rnacentral:rRNA from 1 species